rnacentral:rRNA from 1 species
CACAGCAAAAAAAUUUCAGAUCUCACUACAUGAAUCUACCUCCUAGAAAAAUACUGAGCCACGCUAUUCCUAUAGCCGAACUAAUGCUAAAACUAGUAACAAGAAACCUUCUCCAAGCACACCUAUGACCCAGAAAUAGAAGAUCUGCUGGACGUUAACAGACCAAAACAGGAACUACACCCACUGUUCAACAAACUGUCGAACCGACACAGGAGUGCUAAAAAGACAGAUUAAAAGCCGCAAAAGGAACUCAGCAAAAUCUGCCCCAACUGUUUACCAAAAACAUAGCCUUUAGCCAAACAAGUAUUAAAGGUCCCGCCUGCCCAGUGAAGCAUUUCAACGGCCGCGGUAUUCUAACCGUGCAAAGGUAGCGUAAUCACU